rnacentral:lncRNA from 1 species
UCAAAAUACCUCUUGUUACUUUAUCUCUAUAUCACAUACAAAUAUGCACUAUCCAAGCAAACUUGAGUAUAACAACAAGCAAUAACUUUCCUUUUAAAUUUAAAUAUGGUCCAAGUUAACUAUUGGCUUCGAGUUCUCACAACCCUAUGAAUGGAGUAAAGGCGCAAAAUUGAUUGCCACACUUUUCUUGAAAACUUGCAUCCAAAGAAAAUUUGAUCACGUCUCUUUGCAACAUCCAUAAAAAAAAAUAUAUAUAUAUAUAAAAGUAUUAAUUACGAAAUAGAAUAUAAAAGUAUUAAUGAUCGUGGGUUGGUUGAGAUUUUGUUAAUGGGUUUUUGUUUUAUUUGAGAAAGAAGGCGCGACUCAAAUGCUUUUGCCAUGAAAUGGUUUGAUUGUGCUUUUGCUAAUUUCCUCCGACUUAAUCUUUUCCUGUUUCAUUAAGACGUUUAAUAUAGUGAGUGCUACGUCUGAUCAUUGUACAGGCCCAAAUUUGCCCGGCCCAGACUAAACAAGCCCAAAUCCCUAACCUAAACCAAAACCCAAAUUAGCCCAAUAAUUAGAAAUCCCUAAAGGCCCAACUGGCCCAAAAUUUUAAAUUGAACAGAACCCUUGCCCUUAACCAGCAGCCUCCACCUUCCGCUCACCCACGUGCCUCGAGCGCACCGCCCGCGCCUGGCCCUGAGGCCUGACCACCUCUGCUCGUCUUUGCGCCAACCCCGUCCCAUCACUUCCGUCUAGACCUGCAAACGAAACAAGAAAAAGAGCAGAGAGACACGCAAAGUAAAGAGAAAAAUAGAAGCAACAAAUAGAAAGGGGUAGCAAAAUAAAUAGGCAUUCGAUUAUGAAAAAAAAUGGGGGGGAUGAUUUUAGGGGGUUUUCGAAUACAAAAAAAACGUUGUAUUACAAGAGAUUAGGGAAAUCAAGAGCAAAAAUAAGAAAAAAGGUUGUUUUUGGAUUCUAUUCUUUUUUCUUUUUUUUUCUUUUCGAUCAUUUUUUAUUUAUUUAUUUUUGGUUUCAAAUCCAUUUUAAAACAAAAAUAAAAGGAAAAAAAAGGCUUACCUGAACGACCCCGCGAUGCCGUCGUCGGGAACUUCUCUCCUGGCGUCAAACUCGGGCUUAAAGGGAAGCCAAUGACCUUUCCUUCGGCUUUUGAGUCGAGAAGGUUCGACCUCUAGACGCGUUCCCAAUGAGGGCUAAAAUCCUCUCUUUGCGCGACCACAACCACCGCACGCGGUGGGCCACGAUGGAGGCAUAACGGCGGCGCAAAGGCUAGGGUUCAAAACCCUAGCAGAGAAAAGAGGGGAGAGUUCUAGAAUUUUUUUUUAAAAAAAUAGCAGUGGGAAUGAAUCUUAGAAAAAAAUUUGAUUUUUAUAAGGGCACAAAAACGGUGCCGUUUUGCACCUAAUGCCCUAGCGCCGAAACGACGUCGUUUAGAGCAGAUCCGCACGCUACCCGACCCGCUCCAGGGGAUAUUUAUCCCUUUGGUCCCCCGUCUUGUACAGUUGUUUCAAUUUUGUCAUGUUUCCUUUUCUUUUAUAUUCUUAAAUUCGCCCCGCUAAACUUGAAAAGUUUUAUUUUGGUCCUUUUUAAACGCUGCACAUAUGGGGAGGGAUUAUUUUCUCAUUUGAUCCUUCCAUGAAUGCACGCG